rnacentral:lncRNA from 1 species
UUUAGUUGAAAGUGGUAAGUUUGGGGGAGCUGGAGGAGUGUGAGGUCGUCGACUCCGAGCCCACGGUUGCUGAGCGAGUGUCUAGUGGUGGGUAUGAAGGUGAUGGGUGUGUGUAUGGUGCUGGAUGGUUUGAGAACUUGCGAGAGAGCGUUGUGAUUUGCGGUUGGGUGUAUCUUCUUCUCCAAAACAGGUUGCAGACAAAGGUGGAGGAAGCU